rnacentral:rRNA from 1 species
UACGUAGGUGGCAAGCGUUGUCCGGAUUUACUGGGCGUAAAGCGUGCGUAGACGGUUACAUAAGUCGGGUGUGAAAGCCCCGGGCUCAACCUGGGAAUUGCAUUCGAGACUGCGUAGCUAGGGUGCGGAAGAGGGAAGCGGAAUUUCCGGUGUAGCGGUGAAAUGCGUAGAUAUCGGAAGGAACACCAGUGGCGAAAGCGGCUUCCUGGUCCAGCACCGACGUUCAGGCACGAAAGCGUGGGGAGCAAACAGG